rnacentral:rRNA from 1 species
UACGUAGGUGACUAGCGUUGUCCGGAUUUACUGGGCGUAAAGAGCGCGCAGGCGGUCGUUCAAGUCGAGUGUGAAAGCCCCCGGCUCAACUGGGGAGGGUCAUUCGAUACUGAUCGACUCGAAGGCAGGAGAGGGAAGCGGAAUUCCCGGUGUAGUGGUGAAAUGCGUAGAUAUCGGGAGGAACACCAGUGGCGAAGGCGGCUUGCUGGGCGUAGUCUGACGCUGAGGCGCGAAAGCGUGGGGAGCGAACAGG